rnacentral:misc_RNA from 1 species
GUUUCCACUCGGCUCAAUAACAGCAGCCAAACAUGUCCUUAAUUGUGAGUGCAGUUUUGGGAUGCUUAAUUAAUUUGGAGCGGCAGAACUGGAGCCGACGUACUGCCACCGUCACAGUCAAUUAGUUAGCAGGCUCUGACACUUGUAACACGAUUCCCCCCUCUACCGUUCCUGUACUCUUCUUUCGUGGUCUGGGCUUUCUCACUAGGGAGGACGAAACAAAUAUCACCAGAGUUUUUCAUUUGUUGUUUGGCAAAUAUCAUGCCCAAAGAACUUCCGGGUUUUUAUUAUGAUGCGGAGAAGAACAGGUAUUUUCCUCUCAAAGGCCCAAUUCCGGGUUCUUCUCGUGCCUCUUCAUCUACCACCAAUACUCAAAAUCCAGCUAUAAAGCCGACCCAGGCAAUCAACUUUUGUAGGAAGACUAGAAUAAGAAUUUCUAAGCUGCUUCACGGUAGGGAGUUGAAUGGUAACAUAAUUGAUUUCAAUAAAGGGAAAUGUAGCUUCACGGAGGAACUCCUAAAGAUACAAGCAUCACAACCCAUGGUUUGGAAAUAUCAGGGAACUGAAAAGAUAAGUGAUGGUGCUUUGGACCAGAUGCAUAUAGAUAUACACACACCCCAGGGUCAAACUGAAAUUGAUGUUUUGGUAACAGGCGGUGUAAAUGGCUCCUUGAGUCUUUUUGAGGUUGGAAAAUCUGGACAACAUUUUGAUAGUGGGGAAAAAUGCAUUCCGGAUCUUGUUAGGCCUGUAGUUGAAGUAAACAAGGCAGAGUGUAGCAAAGCCCCUGGACAUAUUUGGCGACCUGAAGGAGCUUCACUGCAAAUGUCGUCAAAUAUAUCUUGCAUAAAACUGUUUGGAAAGCACCCUUCUUAUGCUGUUGAUGACUGUUUCAGCAUCCAGCAUGCCUUACUAACCACUCUUGGAUCUGAGACAUCUGGUGGAUCUGUUUUUAUUCUUAACCUUGUUGAACCUUUGGAUCUUUAUUCAAGUACUUCUAUAAGGAGAAUGAUACGUGAGGUUGCUUCUUUCAAUUGCACAAUUUGGACUGCAGAUUGCAACCACAAUGCAACUCUAGCAGCGAUUGGAACCAAUCUUGGAGCUGCUUUGGUCAAUUCAGAAACAGGAACAACAACAUGGACGUGUAGAAGUAAAAGUGAUGUUUUAGCUCAACAGCUUGAUCAGUCGGGUAAUAUUGUUUUGUGUGGAUUAAGAAAUGGAGCAAUUGUGACAGUUGAUGUUCGUGAAAAAAGAGAAGGGUUUUCUGCUAGGCUAAUCAGACAUAAAAUACCUCAUUCACCUUUGGGCAGAUUUCAUCAAAAUUCUAGUAAACAGUGGUUUGAGGUAUUGAAUUUCUUUUAGUAUUAAAUUAUAUGACUAUCAUUUUUUAUGCCAAUUUUAAGUUUCAAAGCUGAAUAUAUGCAUAGGAGAAAAUUAUUAUGGAUCUGAAGCUGGCAGUUGCCAGUUUUGUAUUUUCAUAUUUUACAGAUCCCAAUCCUAUGGGGCAAAUAUUUGAUUGUUACAGCAUUAAAACAAAACCUGAAUAAUUUUACAUCGUAAACAUUAUACACAUACUCAUAAUCCCUUCUUUGAGGGCUUAACUGGAGUUGUUAGUCAACUUUUUGUUUUUUCAUUUUUCAUUGAGGGGCUAAUCUGUGAAGACUUUGGACAUUGCAGCAAUUAUAUUAUAUAGUAAUUUACUUAUAUGUUUUCUGAUUGCCAUUUUUGUUUCUUUCCUUCAAUAUGGUGAUUGUUAUACUUGUGCACAAUAUCGUUACUCAUAUAUGAUGAAUUCAACUUGAUCAUCUGUUCAGAACUGCUAUUUUUUGAUGAAAUUAUGGCGAUUGGCCUUAAUCUGAUAUUUUGCAGCUCAGAGGAAACAUCUAUCCUUCCUACACCCUGUAUAUGCCUUCAUCCAUAUGCUGUUUGGUAUCACUUCAAUCGUAUGAGCAGUACUUCUUGGCCAGCUCCAUGGAUGGAUCGGUCAGUCUUCAUUCUUCUUUUUAACUCUUUUGUUUGACACAUGCUUGCAAAUUUUUUCCUCUAUGGUGGAAGGGUGUUCUUUCAUUUAACUAGUUUAUUAAAUUAGUGGUUCACAAUUCUAGGAAGCUGGAAGUACAUAAUAUAGGAAUAUGCUUGUAUUUAAGUUUUUCAAGCUUAUUUUUCAUCAAAUAAAAAAAAGUUUUUCAAGCUUCAUUAACUUGAUCAAGUUCAAUAAUUAACUAAAUUACUUAAUUAGUAUGUACUUUAUUUUCAUCAUUGUUUUCUUGGUGAGUCAAUGAGGUGAAAGAACUGAUGCUCAAUCAUCUCUAUCUCCUAUAUCUACUGCAGAUAUAUGUGGUUGGUGAAUCUCCCUUUACUGGUUAAGAAGUGAGAAUAAAAUCUUUAUGCAUAGCUAUAUGAUUCAUGCUUUGAAAUUAAUGGUAUCUUUAUUGUUUUAUAUGGUCUAAGCGUGGAACGUGGCUUUGGUGUUAAAAUGAAGGUACUCCAUUUUUGAUGUGGAGUCAUGGGUUAGAGUCAUGAAAACAGCCUCUUUGCAGAGUAGAGAUAAGGCUAUGUACACAAGUGUGGGAUGCUUUGUGCAUUGGGUCACCCUUUGUAUGAAACCUGUUUGAUGAUGAUGUUAUAAUCCAUUACUUGAUCUAUGACAUCAGAGAAUCACAAAGAGAAGGAAAUGACUUUCCUCUCUGUUGCCUUGUGCCAGUCGCCAGUGUUAUUUUGUGAUCACAAUCAUAACUGUAUAUCAUCCAUGUAAGACUUGAUAGGAUUGAGUACCAUGGCUGUGAUAUUUUUUUAUGUCCCAAUUAAAAACCAUGAUUUUGCUUGUCCUUAGUUUUUGAUGAGUAGCUUUUUUAAUGUGAGCAGGUCAUUGCUUUCUUUCCCAUGAAUUCUCUUGCAGGGCCUUGAUCAAUCCUGAAAAAAUAAGAUUGCCAUUCUCUAUCAAAAAGUCUACCCUUUCUAAAAGCAUAAAAUUCACAAUCAUGUUUUCAGCUGGUUUUAGCUGUGUGUCUUAUAUCUGCAUUUCUCUUUUAUGGUCUUUUGUUUAUUCUAUAUUGAUUUUUUUGCUGCCAUAUUCUCUUAAUCAAUCAUGUCUGAUCACUUCAUCUUAUUUAUACAUUAGCGAAUCUUUGCAAUUUCUCCAAUAGAAGUUUUACCAACUGUAACUGCAUGGUAGACUUUCUGAAGAUCUCUUACAUUGUGAAAAGAGUAAUAGACAAGGUAUUAGUAUGCUUAUCUGGCUAGGUUUACAUCAUCACUAGGUAGAAUCUGGUUGCAUGACUUAGAGACUAAUCGGAUGAGCUUCCAUAUAACUGUGUUAAAUUAUUUUCUACUAAUGUUUAUUUGGAACUUUAAAAACUUACGCCUUAUAAUCUCGUUAUGCUUAAACUGUUGAAUUACCAUAUUGUGUUUUGAAACAGUUAGCUGGUCACUACCUGAAAGAGAAGACAAAAUCUUUUGCACUUUCACUGUCAAUGUUACAAAAUGCUGAUGAGAUUGAUGGUAGUUCUGAAUCUGUGACGCCUUCAGUUUAUGUGGGUCAGUUUGCUCGAUUACUUGAGCAAGGGGAUGCAUUUGCCGUACAACCUCUUACUGAUGAAGAGUACACCCGUUAUGCUAUCGCUGAAGGGAAAAGAUUUCAAGAUUCCUUUGAAAUCAUUGCUCUUCUUAAAAAAUCUUAUGAAUCAUACAUCAACCUUAAAGCCCAGAGGAUGGCUUCUCAUUGCGGGUUUCUGAUGGCUCAAGAAUAUUUUGCAGUGAGUGAUUUCAGUAAUGCAAAACAACUACUUGAUGGUGUUGCAGCUCUAUACAGACAAGAGGGAUGGGUCACUUUAUUAUGGGAGGUCUUGGGUUUUCUGCGAGAGUGCUCAAGGAAAUGUGGUAUAUUGAAGGAAUUUAUAGAGUACUCUCUUGAAAUGGCUGCAUUACCUGUAUCAUCUGGUACAGGAGUCCAAUCAUUCAGAGCGAAUGAAUGUGGUCCAGCUGGUCCUGCAAGUCUUGCUCAGAGAGAAAAUAUACACAAGGAGGUUUUUCAGCUUGUCAGCGGAGAAACAGGGGUGGUAUCAGUUGAAGAUAAUAGUGAUCUCAGAGUAAACAGAGAAAAUCCUCUGCAUCUUGAGAUUGAUCUUGUCAGUCCCCUUAGAAUGGUACUUCUUGCUUCAGUUGCAUUUCAUGAACAGAUAAUUAAGCCUGGUGUACCUGCCUUGAUUACACUGUCACUUCUAUCACAAUUGCCUCUUACUGUUGACAUAGAUCAAGUAGAAGUGCAGUUUAAUCAAUCGGAAUGUAACUUCAUCAUCAUAAAUGCUCAAAAACCUCCAUCUGCUGAAAUUUCCAAUAGCCAACAAAGUCGACAGGUUGAAAGUGCUCCUUCUCUGGUGCUUGUUACAAACAAGUGGCUACGGUUGACAUAUGCAAUUAAAUCUGAACAAAGUGGGAAGCUGGAAUGCAUAUAUGUUAUUGCAAAAAUGGGCCCCCACUUCACAAUUUGCUGCAGAGCUGAAAGUCCUGCUUCAAUGGACGAUUUACCUCUUUGGAAGUUUGAAGACCGUGUAGAGACUUUUCCAACUAAGGAUCCUGCUCUUGCAUUUUCUGGUCAGAAGCUUGCCCAGGUUGAAGAACCAGACCCACAAGUGGAUCUUAUUUUAGGUGCUACUGGACCUGCAUUGGUUGGAGAGUGCUUUGUUAUACCUGUAACUGUGGCCUCCAAGGGUCAUGACAUCUUUUCUGGUGAGUUGAAAAUCAAUCUAGUGGAUGUAAGAGGAGGUGGGUUGUUUAGUCCAAGGGAAGCAGAACCAUUCUCUAUGGAUAACCAUCAUGUUGAGCUUCUUGGUGUUAAUGGGCCAGAAGGAGAAGAUGAAUCUCCUGUGGGAUAUGAUAAAAUAAAGAAAAUUCAGCAGUCCUUUGGUCUGGUGUCUGUUCCAGUUCUGCAAGAUGGAGAAUCAUGGUCCUGCAAACUGGAAAUCAAGUGGCAUCGACCCAAACCAAUUAUGGUUUUUGUAUCAUUGGGCUAUUUUCGAGAUAGCAACGAAAUGACUUCACAAAAAAUCCAUGUCCACAAGAACUUGCAAAUUGAAGGAAAGACUGCUGUUCUAAUCAGUCAUCACUUUAUGCUUCCAUUCCGGCAGGAUCCGCUGUUGCUUUCAAAGCUCAAGCCAGUCUCUAGUUCUGAUCAAGGAACAUCAUUGCCUUUGAAGGAAACAAGUAUACUACGUGUUAGUGCCAAAAACUGCAGUGAGGUGCCAUUGCAGUUACAGUCCAUGUCUAUUGAAAUGGAUGAUGAUGUAGAAAGGUCAUUUACCUUGCAUCACAGUGGUGAGGAUAUUUUUGGCCCUGCCUACCUUGUUCCAGGAGAAGAGUUCAAAAAGGUGUUCACUGUCAUUCCUGAGGUGGAAUCAUCAAAUCUCAACUUAGGUUCAGUGUCCCUGCGAUGGAGGAGAAAUUUGCAAAGUAAAGAUCAAUCUAGUUCCACUGCAGAAGCUUGGGUUUUGACUAGACAUAAACUUCCUGAUGUAAAUGUAGAGUUAUCUCCAUUGGUUUUGACUGUGGAUUGUCCUCCUUAUGCUAUUCUUGGAGAUCCCUUCACAUAUUCGGUUAAAAUUCGAAAUCAAACACAGUUGCUUCAAGAGGUGAAGUUCUCAUUGGCAGAUGCACAAAGCUUUGUGAUAUCUGGAUCUCACAGUGACACAGUUUUUGUCCUUCCAAAAUCUGAGCAUGUCCUUGGUUACAAGAUUGUGCCGCUUGCUUCAGGUUUGCAACAGUUGCCCCGAGUGACGGUGAUAUCUGUGAGAUAUUCAGCUGGGUUUCAACCAUCAAAUGCUGCAUCAACUGUUUUUGUGUUUCCCACUAAACCCCAUUUUAAGACGGCUGAUAUGGGAGACAAAGGGAUGGAAUCUAUUGUCGCCGAUUAAUACUGAACUGUAUUCAGGUCAUAUUUUGCAGAAAUCUUUUGGUUCAGUCAUCAAAUGGCAAGCAAUUGCUGCACCCUAGGUAUGGGUAGGAGAUUGAAUGCCGCCCUGAAUUGGAAUUGUCAAAACAAAUAUGGUUGGAGUGCUUUCUUGGAAGAAAUCUUUCAAAGAUGAGUUGAGGAUUUUAAGGCAUUUUGAACAAAUAUACUGACCCAUGCAUGGUUUGUCAUGCAGUUAGUUACUUGUAAUUUCGUAUUUGGGUUGGGGCGGAGAUAAGAUAAAUGGUUUCUUGGGGUGCAGUUAUCGUUACAUUCCCAAAUUCGGAAUGAUGUCACGUGUCGUGUAAUUUUAAGCAGUAGAUAUUUUUGUUUGUGAGAUUUCAAUUUAUAGAUUCUUUCAUCAAGAAUUACAUGCAACAGUUGUUACAUCAAUUAAUUGUACUGUUGAAGAGAAGAGUGAGAAAAAGAGUAAGUAUUUAGUAAAAACAUAAUUAUUUUCCAGUAGUUGGUUCUUUUAUAAAUUACUCGAAAUUUGUUGUUUAUCGUUUUAAGUGGGGAAGGUGGAGACUUUAUGAUACACAAGCCA